rnacentral:lncRNA from 1 species
ACAUAAAAUCGAUGAUGUGCCAGCACCAUAUGAUGUUGAGCAGGAGGAACAACCCCUUGUACCUUAGAUAGUAAAAACACCUCAUGUUAGAAGGUCAAUUAAAACACUUCAUUCUUCUAGUAGAUAUCUAGUUCUGAGUAUGUGAAAGUUACUGAAGAGGGCCAGAGAGUUUCCAAGAAAUAUAGACUUAUAAAGGAAAAGUUUAGUUGAUGAAUGCAAUUCAGCAAAAGAUGAGUUUUUGUAGAGAAAUUAACAUUG